GAAAGGUACAUGAGUAUGCUUACGGAGGAAGUAAAGAAAAUAUUUUUUAUGGGAGAUAGGGGUGAUACUGAUGAUCCUAAUAUUUUUUAUGAGAUGAUGUUUGAUAUUGAUUUUGAAAAAUGAUUAGAUGCUAUGAAGCAAAAAUUGACUCGAUGCACUCGAACCAAGUCUGUACUUUAGUGGAUCCACCUAAGGGUAUCGUAC
rnacentral:lncRNA from 1 species